rnacentral:lncRNA from 1 species
GGUUCGGCGGUCCCAGGUUCUUCUCUUCACUGCACGCUCUUGCCACUCUUCUUUUCUCUCCUGCCCGUGUUCUUCCUGCCGCCUGACCUGGCCCGCCCGCCUUUCCAGUCUGGCCGGGCGGGGGCCUGAAGCACGGCGGCUCGGGCCGUGGGACCGUGGUCACACCCUUUCCAGAAAUUCUUGGCUGGUAACCGCGAAACCGACUGGAGCAGGAGCUGGGAGAACUGGAGAAAACUGCUCUAAUCUCACUUGACUCCAGCUAGGAGCUGAUGCUGCAUCGUAAUAACAUUUGCAGAGCGCUUUCACAGGUAUUAGCCCCUUUAACGCUUCAUUUAGCCCCGUGAGAUCUGGAUAUUAUCACUCCGUUUUGUAAACGAGGAAACAGAGUGAGGCUUA